rnacentral:rRNA from 1 species
AUUGAACGCUAGCGGGAUGCUUUACACAUGCAAGUCGAACGGCAGCGCGGACUUCGGUCUGGCGGCGAGUGGCGAACGGGUGAGUAAUGUAUCGGAACGUGCCCAGUAGCGGGGGAUAACUACGCGAAAACGUAGCUAAUACCGCAUACGCCCUACGGGUGAAAGCAGGGGAUCGUAAGACCUUGCACUAUUGGAUCGUCCGAUAACGGCUUAGCUAGGUGGUGAGGUAACGGCUCACCAAGGCGACGAUCCGUAGCUGGUUUGAGAGGACGACCAGCCACACUGCGACUGGAACACGGCCCAGACUCCGACGGGAGGACGCAGUGGGGAAUUUUGGACAAUGGGGGCAAGCAUGAUCCAGCCAUCCGGCGUGUGCGAUGAAGGCAUUCGGGUGGUAAAGCACUUUUGGCAGGAAAGAAACGUCGCGGGCUAAUACCACGUGGAAAUGACGGUACCUGCAGAAUAAGCACCGGCUAACUACGUG